rnacentral:misc_RNA from 1 species
UUUCCGUAGGUGAACCUGCGGAGGGAUCAUUACCGAGUGAGGGUUUCUGAGGCCCGCCCUCCCAUCAUGUGUUUUUGUGAAAUUGUUGCUUUGGUGGGCCUGCCUCGAUGAGAGGCGGCCGGUGGGUUUCCGCUUUGGGUCCGUGCCCGUCAGUAGCCCCCAUAUACUCAUAAUAAGUCUGUCGUCUGAGUUAAUGGAUAUAAUGAAAAAAAACUUUCAACAACGGAUCUCUUGGUUCUG